rnacentral:rRNA from 1 species
AAAUUGAAGAGUUUGAUCAUGGCUCAGAUUGAACGCUGGCGGCAGGCCUAACACAUGCAAGUCGAGCGGUAGCACAGAGAGCUUGCUCUCGGGUGACGAGCGGCGGACGGGUGAGUAAUGUCUGGGAAACUGCCUGAUGGAGGGGGAUAACUACUGGAAACGGUAGCUAAUACCGCAUAAUGUCGCAAGACCAAAGUGGGGGACCUUCGGGCCUCAUGCCAUCAGAUGUGCCCAGAUGGGAUUAGCUAGUAGGUGGGGUAAUGGCUCACCUAGGCGACGAUCCCUAGCUGGUCUGAGAGGAUGACCAGCCACACUGGAACUGAGACACGGUCCAGACUCCUACGGGAGGCAGCAGUGGGGAAUAUUGCACAAUGGGCGCAAGCCUGAUGCAGCCAUGCCGCGUGUGUGAAGAAGGCCUUCGGGUUGUAAAGCACUUUCAGCGGGGAGGAAGGCGGUGAGGUUAAUAACCUCACCGAUUGACGUUACCCGCAGAAGAAGCACCGGCUAACUCCGUGCCAGCAGCCGCGGUAAUACGGAGGGUGCAAGCGUUAAUCGGAAUUACUGGGCGUAAAGCGCACGCAGGCGGUCUGUCAAGUCGGAUGUGAAAUCCCCGGGCUUAACCUGGGAACUGCAUUCGAAACUGGCAGGCUAGAGUCUUGUAGAGGGGGGUAGAAUUCCAGGUGUAGCGGUGAAAUGCGUAGAGAUCUGGAGGAAUACCGGUGGCGAAGGCGGCCCCCUGGACAAAGACUGACGCUCAGGUGCGAAAGCGUGGGGAGCAAACAGGAUUAGAUACCCUGGUAGUCCACGCCGUAAACGAUGUCGAUUUGGAGGUUGUGCCCUUGAGGCGUGGCUUCCGGAGCUAACGCGUUAAAUCGACCGCCUGGGGAGUACGGCCGCAAGGUUAAAACUCAAAUGAAUUGACGGGGGCCCGCACAAGCGGUGGAGCAUGUGGUUUAAUUCGAUGCAACGCGAAGAACCUUACCUGGUCUUGACAUCCACAGAACUUUCCAGAGAUGGAUUGGUGCCUUCGGGAACUGUGAGACAGGUGCUGCAUGGCUGUCGUCAGCUCGUGUUGUGAAAUGUUGGGUUAAGUCCCGCAACGAGCGCAACCCUUAUCCUUUGUUGCCAGCGGUUAGGCCGGGAACUCAAAGGAGACUGCCAGUGAUAAACUGGAGGAAGGUGGGGAUGACGUCAAGUCAUCAUGGCCCUUACGACCAGGGCUACACACGUGCUACAAUGGCAUAUACAAAGAGAAGCGACCUCGCGAGAGCAAGCGGACCUCAUAAAGUAUGUCGUAGUCCGGAUUGGAGUCUGCAACUCGACUCCAUGAAGUCGGAAUCGCUAGUAAUCGUAGAUCAGAAUGCUACGGUGAAUACGUUCCCGGGCCUUGUACACACCGCCCGUCACACCAUGGGAGUGGGUUGCAAAAGAAGUAGGUAGCUUAACCUUCGGGAGGGCGCUUACCACUUUGUGAUUCAUGACUGGGGUGAAGUCGUAACAAGGUAACCGUAGGGGAACCUGCGGUUGGAUCACCUCCUUACCUUAAAGAA